AAACCAUGAUUUGAGGACUUCAGUAACUCAGCCAGAGGCAGGGUGGAUAAAAAUCAAUGUUUUUUUUUUUAAUCAAAACUUUUUUAAUUUGAUUUUUUUGGAUGAUAGAUUUUUUCCUCACAAAGCAUCUAAAAAUAGAUAUUAUAGCUCAAAGAUGUCUCAUCAUAGAGUAGGAACUAUAAAUUCUAAUUCUAUAUAGUAUGAGACAAUAUAUUCAUGUAAUGUUUAAGAAACAUUUUGUAAAUGAGUUUCAAUAGUUCAUGGGUUAGGGACCCUAUCUUAUGGGGUUUCAGGCACUUCUGUAUAGAUUAUUUAGGUUAAUCUUUCUAUCUACCCAAUGGGACUCGGUGCUCAGUCCAGAAGAUACCAUCAGAGAUGCUUAGUUUUGCAGUUCUCAAACUCUGGAUUUGUCUUUCCGGAGAUGACAAGCUUGUUAACGCAAAAAUAUUUUUAAAUUAAUAAAUUAUAUAGAGAGGUGAGAAAUAACAGACCUCAGCCCUAUUGUCCCUUUGCAAAUUUAUGUACACAGAGUCAAUCCCUUACCACUCUCUCUAAAAGUGAAGUUUCAAAAAGUUCAGUGAAUAGAAGACUGUUGGGGGCAGAAUAGAUCUGGACAAGGAGAAGAAAUCUGGAGAUAAAUGUGAGAAGGGAGGGACAUGCAGUAGAAACCAAAGUAUAUUCCAGAAGUCUUGAGGUCUUUCUGAGUAUAGCCUUCAUUGAUUUGAGAUCUACCACACCAUUCACUCACUAUACAGGAAAACCUAUAAUGGCAGCAGGCCAUAAAAGAGAUCCAGUUUGGGAAUAUUUUAAUGAAGUUCCUCUACCUGUGGGUAAGACAGGCAUGUGUGCAAAAUGGAAAGAGUGCAACAAAGAAAUGCAAGGCCUGGUUGCCUGAAUGAAACGACAUUAUGAGAAGUGUUCCUUCUCAGGAGGAAGCUGCAUUGAAGAUGAUGAAAGGAACAGUUCUGAACAUGCAGAAUCUUCAGGAGAAUCCAUCCUCAACAUACAGGAUUCUGAAGACUAUCCACCUUCAAGAUCACCAUCAUUUUCUAUAGUUUCAGAGUUAUCUGCCAAUGAUAACGUUUCAGUCACAUCAUGUUUGUCACGUAGCCACAGUAGAUCACCUAUAGCA